rnacentral:rRNA from 1 species
UACGUAGGGGGCUAGCGUUGUCCGGAAUCAUUGGGCGUAAAGCGCGCGUAGGCGGCCCGGUAAGUCCGUUGUGAAAGUCAAAGGCUCAACCUUUGAAUGCCGAUGGAUACUGCCGGGCUCGAGUCCGGAAGAGGCGAGUGGAAUUCCUGGUGUAGCGGUGGAAUGCGCAGAUAUCAGGAGGAACACCAAUAGCGAAGGCAGGUCUCUGGGCAUUAACUGACGCUGAGGUGCGAAAGCGUGGGGAGCAAACAGG